CAUGUCAGAGCAGAGCAGAGCUACAGCUGCUCCAACAGGGACCCGUCGCUGCCAGAGCUGAGCCAUGAGCGACGCUGGGUGUGCUCUGGGAGAGCAGUCUGAAGAGAGGGAAACCCUUCUAAGCACCAGCAGCUCGGAGAGAGGAGUGAGAAAUGGGAGAGAAGCAGCCCUGCAGGCACGAAGGUACUACAGCAGAUGAAAACAUCACCUCUGCUGUUUUUGAAGAGUGGCAGGUGUACAGCAGGAAGAUCAUCAAAAUCAGAGAAUCUGAAAGUGAGAAGAAAAACACCAAACUCGGCUCUUCCUUUACCUCAAUGGGCAUUACCUAUUUUUAAGACUAAACCUGAUCCCAGACUUCGACAUGAAAGGUAUUACAAGCCAUAGACUUUCUUGAAUGAACUAUUGUUACACCAAUAGUAAAGCCCAGGGCUCACAGGAAGGAACAAAUGUGAGCCAUCUACAAAGAAGUCAAGGCUCCAUCAACUUCUACUAGUUCCAUCAAAUGGUAUCUGAAGGACUCAACAUUACAGAAAUCUAGUCUCAUCACAAUCUGGUAUCCGAUUCAGGUAUUUCACUUACUGGAUGAAGAACUGACAAUACAAUGAAUCAUUGUAAUUGUUCCUCCAUCGAUCCCAUAUCAGAAGCAGUGGAAUACACUGUUAUUCUUGGAUACUCCAAGCAAGAUGAAGAAGUCGAAAUGCAAAUAUUGCUGGGGAAAAAUAGUGACAGCUAAUCAAAACAAUAUGAAUUGUAAUGAAUUCCUCAAAGCUUGUACUAAAACUGCUCUGCAAACAAAAAGAACCUUCCUUCCACUAGAGCAGCCAAAUCCAGCCCAAGUGAGCUACAGAGGCGUAUGUGUUGCUUCAUUGAUCCUGACUGUCUAUAGUCUGCAUCAGAACAGAGGACUGAAUGCAAUGGAAAUUUUUAUCUUCUUCAACAUCAGAAAUCGGUUCUAUUUAUAACCCCUAAAGCAACAAUUCACCUGCAUUUCCAGUGCUCAGAACAUUCAUUAAUCAAGAUAUAUUGCAAACCUAGAGGAUUCACAGCCUAAAAGAUAUAAGUCUAACUCAGAGAUCUUUCUGGUUAUUAAAAGAGAGGCAUGAAUAAGUAGAAUGAUUCCUGCUCAGAAUAUACGAUACAAGUUUAUUUUAAGGACUUAACUGUCCACAUGAAAUGAAAGACAUUCACUGUAAGGAAACUACAGAAUCAAGCCUAAAAUCAAGCUUUCAAUUUCUUAGAAGCUUACAAAGUGUUAAACUAGAUCUAAAGCUAUAUAUCAAUGUAAUUAAGAAUAAUUUUCUACCUGCAAUGUAAUCUAUAUUUGCAUUAGGACAAAACAUUUAAAACAACACAGUAGCACUUUAUUUUUUGUCAUGUCAGUGUUAUUCAGAGUAGUUCUUAAACAACAAGUUCUCUGUUGUACUCAACAUCUUUCAGUUAUAUGAGGGCUAAUCCAAAAGUAAUGCCUCCUAUUUUAAUAUGUUGGCCCAUGAUGCCGGAGGUAUUGCAGCAGAGGCAGAACCUUCCCACCAAUAUUCCCUUACAUUUUAUUGUUAUAUGACAGAUGGCAGCAGAGGGGCAAUCUGACAAAAUGACGUCUGACAUAGAAGCGAGUAUAAAGCAAAGAUGUGUCAUUGAAUUCCUCUGUGUGGAAUACAUGGCAAUGAUUCAUUGAUGUUUGCUGAACAUUUAUGGAGACCAAACAGUGGAUGUGAGCAUAAUGAGGCAAUGGGUGGUGCAAUUCAGCACUGGUGACAGCACUGGUGACAGCACUGGUGACAGCACUGGUGACAGCACUGGUGACAGCAGGUCACCUCUGUUGAUACAGGUUUUUACUGGUAUGGAUUGCAGGCUCUUGGUCAUCACUGCCAAAAAUGGAUAACUAAUGAUGGUGACUAUGCUAAGAAAUAGCAUUUUGUAACUGAGAAUUUUCUCUAUCGUAUAGCGUUAUUGUGCUCUUUUUACCUCUUUUAUUCUCCAUUGAGGCAUAGAUGAGAUAAUACUUUCAGAGAAUCUACAUAUUUAAAGUUCUUUAGCAUGAAUGAUGUUUUGGAAACCUCUGUCUGGACUAGAAUGCAGCAGAAUAUUUCUCCAACUGUGGGGGAGAUUUAACAACAAAGAGCCCAACAGACUCUGGUAGAUCUUAUCUCUAUGAGGCCUCCGGAAUCUGGAAACAGGGCUAAGGUGUAAACAGAAUAGUCUUUAGUACGCA